rnacentral:rRNA from 1 species
AGAGUUUGAUCCUGGCUCAGAUUGAACGCUGGCGGCAGGCCUAACACAUGCAAGUCGAGCGGAUGACGGGAGCUUGCUCCUUGAUUCAGCGGCGGACGGGUGAGUAAUGCCUAGGAAUCUGCCUGGUAGUGGGGGACAACGUUUCGAAAGGAACGCUAAUACCGCAUACGUCCUACGGGAGAAAGCAGGGGACCUUCGGGCCUUGCGCUAUCAGAUGAGCCUAGGUCGGAUUAGCUAGUUGGUGGGGUAAUGGCUCACCAAGGCGACGAUCCGUAACUGGUCUGAGAGGAUGAUCAGUCACACUGGAACUGAGACACGGUCCAGACUCCUACGGGAGGCAGCAGUGGGGAAUAUUGGACAAUGGGCGAAAGCCUGAUCCAGCCAUGCCGCGUGUGUGAAGAAGGUCUUCGGAUUGUAAAGCACUUUAAGUUGGGAGGAAGGGCAGUAAGCUAAUACCUUGCUGUUUUGACGUUACCGACAGAAUAAGCACCGGCUAACUCUGUGCCAGCAGCCGCGGUAAUACAGAGGGUGCAAGCGUUAAUCGGAAUUACUGGGCGUAAAGCGCGCGUAGGUGGUUUGUUAAGUUGGAUGUGAAAGCCCCGGGCUCAACCUGGGAACUGCAUCCAAAACUGGCAAGCUAGAGUACGGUAGAGGGUGGUGGAAUUUCCUGUGUAGCGGUGAAAUGCGUAGAUAUAGGAAGGAACACCAGUGGCGAAGGCGACCACCUGGACUGAUACUGACACUGAGGUGCGAAAGCGUGGGGGAGCAAACAGGAUUAGAUACCCUGGUAGUCCACGCCGUAAACGAUGUCAACUAGCCGUUGGAAUCCUUGAGAUUUUAGUGGCGCAGCUAACGCAUUAAGUGGACCGCCCUGGGGAGUACGGCCGCAAGGUUAAAACUCAAAUGAAUUUGACGGGGGCCCGCACAAGCGGUGGAGCAUGUGGUUUAAUUCGAAGCAACGCGAAGAACCUUACCAGGCCUUGACAUGCAGAGAACUUUCCAGAGAUGGAUUGGUGCCUUCGGGAACUCUGACACAGGUGCUGCAUGGCUGUCGUCAGCUCGUGUCGUGAGAUGUUGGGUUAAGUCCCGUAACGAGCGCAACCCUUGUCCUUAGUUACCAGCACGUUAUGGUGGGCACUCUAAGGAGACUGCCGGUGACAAACCGGAGGAAGGUGGGGAUGACGUCAAGUCAUCAUGGCCCUUACGGCCUGGGCUACACACGUGCUACAAUGGUCGGUACAGAGGGUUGCCAAGCCGCGAGGUGGAGCUAAUCUCACAAAACCGAUCGUAGUCCGGAUCGCAGUCUGCAACUCGACUGCGUGAAGUCGGAAUCGCUAGUAAUCGCGAAUCAGAAUGUCGCGGUGAAUACGUUCCCGGGCCUUGUACACACCGCCCGUCACACCAUGGGAGUGGGUUGCACCAGAAGUAGCUAGUCUAACCUUCGGGAGGACGGUUACCACGGUGUGAUUCAUGACUGGGGUGAAGUCGUAACAAGGUAGCCGUAGGGGAACCUGCGGCUGGAUCACCUCCUU